rnacentral:rRNA from 1 species
UACGUAGGUGACCAGCGUUGUCCGGAUUUACUGGGCGUAAAGAGCGCGCAGGCGGUCGUUCAAGUCGAGUGUGAAAGCCCCCGGCUCAACUGGGGAGGGUCAUUCGAUACUGAUCGACUUGAAGGCAGGAGAGGGAAGUGGAAUUCCCGGUGUAGUGGUGAAAUGCGUAGAUAUUGGGAGGAACACCAGUGGCGAAGGCGGCUCACUGGACCGGUUCUGACGCUGAGGCGCGAAAGCGUGGGGAGCAAACGGG